AGAUGCUUAACCGACUGAGCCACCCAGGUGCCCCUGAAAUCAAGUCUUACAUGUCAUUAGAUUAUUUUGGGUUUUAAUGUUAUUUAUGUCUAAUGUAGGUCAGGAAUAAUGUUAAACCCGAUCCUGGGUUACAUGGCAUAGGUUUUCAUGGAUUGCCUCCUUGUAAAAAACAUUAGUCAUCUUUUUCUAAGUUGGAAAAAUACUCUCUGGAACCAAGCAAGACAUCAAGCAGAGAAGGGAAAUAAAAGAGGACACCAGCUGUGCUGUUAGAAGAAAAGUACAAGAUGAUUCUGAAGACUGCAAGUUGACUUGGCAUCCUUAAAGAUCUAUGCAUAUCUUCAUCGAGGAAGUUAGAAAUUUCCUUACAAAGAUAAAACCAGCAAAAAAUCGGAGUAAAGCUUCCGCUCUCUCUCCUUGUGUUAUCACCAUAGUGCUCUUUUAAGUGAUACCACAGAUGUUUGGAUUUCUGUCAUCAUGGCUGAAUGAUCCCGAAUGAGUUUCAUUUAACUAACAGAAUCCUGAAGGAAGACCUUAACUCCACCUUGCUAUCUAAACAGAAACUGCCAUGCCAUCCUGAAAUUGUUCUGGAAAAUGAGUGGCUUGUGACCACUCACUACCUUGUGUCUUAUGAAAUGAGCUCUGGCCGAUGGACCAUGUUGGAUUCUCUGGAAGCCAAGUUGUUCUGUGUCUGGAGGAAAUCCUGUGGAUCUGUGACAGAGUAGAGCCAGCACACCAGACCUCGACGAGUGGCUCAUGCUUGGAAAGUGUUUUGCAUGAGAGCCUAGCACUUUUUUCUUUCCAUUAUACUUAGAAGUUUUACACCUUGACUCACUAAAGUUUGUAUCAUAGGAUAAUAAAAACAUCUUGCCCCUGGU